rnacentral:misc_RNA from 1 species
GAUGAAGAACGUAGCGAAAUGCGAUAAGUAAUGUGAAUUGCAGAAUUCAGUGAAUCAUCGAAUCUUUGAACGCACAUUGCGCCCCUUGGUAUUCCGAGGGGCAUGCCUGUUCGAGCGUCAUUAUAACCCCUCAAGCUCAGCUUGGUGUUGGGGCCUGCUGCACUGGCAGCCCUUAAAAUCAGUGGCGGCGCCAUCUGGCUCUAAGCGUAGUAAUUCUUCUCGCUAUGGUGUCCUGGUGGAUGCUUGCCAUCAACCCCCAAUUUUUCUAUGGUUGACCUCGGAUCAGGUAGGGAUACCCGCUGAACUUAAGCAUAUCAAUAAGCGGAGGA